AUAAUGAGGUGUCUGUCCCUAUGUUGAGAGAAUGAAUACGACCCCGGGAGCGCGGCUUACAUCACUCACCUUGGGGAAGAGAGGUCGGAGAAGCGGACCUACGGGAAGAGCAGUGGGAGAGGCGGACCUGCGGGAAGAGCAGUGGGAGAGACGGGAGAGACGGACCUGUCAGCUGCUCGGAAUCGGCCCACGCUGAAUUCGAAAGGAGAGUCAAGAAAAAACAAGCUCUGACAUCACAGGAAACAGGCAAUUUGAUUGGUUGAAGAAGAACCUAGCUGUUUGGUGAAAAUCUGGAUCCUGCUCCUGUGAAAACACCUGCAGGUGCUCCGACUGCCGAUGUCCCAGCAGCAAAGCUGGACGCUGCCGGAAAAGUUGCUGCUCUUGCUGUCCUGCAGGAUGCACGAACUGCACCAAUGGCUGUGUGUGUAAUGGGAUCUCGUCUGACAAAUGUAGCUGCUUUUCCUGAACAACAGGCACUUCAGGCACAAUACAUGAAAUAUUGUCCAUAUGUACUGUAUUCCACAAGCUGCAUGUCCUCAGUGUCUAUAUCCUAAUGAAUUUUGUGUUUACGUAAAAUAAUGAAAAUGUCUGCAUAUUGUUGAAAUUCUGAUUUUUGUAUCAAGAAUAAUUUUUUUUCGGUAUUUGAAGUCUAGUCAUAUGUGCUAUUGUGUUUCUUGAAGAUGUGAUGGUGCUAAUAACAGCACAAGAUAUAGGAAAUGAGUUGAGUCUAACUUUACCUUUAAGACACAUGGCAUAACAUAAGUCACAUUAGCAUCUGUCACAGUCAGGUCAAUGAGGUAAAACAAUGUGAUGAUGGACCAGUGUCGAAAAUGGUGGAGUGAAUGAAUCAAUGGUGGUUCUGCUGACCCUCUCAUCCAUGAGUGUGACAACAUGCUACUGUCGAAUAUACCGAAAAAUAUGGUUGUAAUCCAGUCACCUCUGUCUGUUAACUGUGCAUCCAAAGGUUAAUUUUCAAAUAUUCUUUGGAAGUAUUGGCAUAAAUGCAGACUCCUUCAGAGAUUUGUGAACUUGUUUCCCCAGGUCUUGCUGUUUCUGCACCCCCUCUAAAGUUGUAUCAUCUAUUUCACAUUGUAUCUCCACAUUCUUUGUUUAAAACCUAUCAAUCACAUUUGUGUGCCUUAAAUUUCAUCUGUCAGGUGUCUGCUCAUUUUACCACUCUGCUUCUGUGAGCCUCCUCAUUGUUGACUACUACAUCCCCUCUAUACUGCUUAACGUUCCUAACUUGUGGAAGACCAAGUCUUUAAUUCUUGUUAUCCAAUUUUCUCGGAUUCAGUCUUAACUUCUCUGUUACGGCUACAUUGAGAACAUCCUUCUCUACAGAGAAGAAAGUGGCAAAAAUACAUCUUGUACCUUAACAAUGUCCUCUGCCAUCAUACAAAGGUUGGCUUUUCAGUUCCUGAUCAGACCCAUAUUCUGAUUUGACUACUCUUUCACCAUUGAUGUGUUUAAAAGAGAAAAUCCACAUUCUGAGUGAAGGUGCAGAAAAUUUGGAUUUAUUUUAAAGUGCUAGCCAUGAACAGCAGCUCGGCUGCCAAAGCAUACAUAGACAAUCAUAGACAAUGAAAGCUAAAAACUUGUACAAAGGGCUCAGCUGUAAAUUUGCAAUUAGGAAAUGGGCGGGGACAUGGGAUGACUCGAUCAAGGAAUGGGGAAGGCCAUUUCACACCGUCUGAUAGCGUCAAACCACAUCCAGUCAGCCCCUGUGAACCUUUUUUAUAGAUCAAACAUACAUUCUUUGCAAUCUUCAAAAGGACAAUGCCCUGUCUCUGCACUGUAAUCACUGUACAAGGACACAAUUAUCAGCCCACUGGGAGGUCCUUGUGCUGUGGCCUUUGUCUAACUAAUACCAUUAAGUUGUAACUGAUAGUAAAAAAUAUAUAAACUCUGCUCAUUUGAACCUCAGUGGAGAAGUGCCUGGACUGCCCAGUGUUUGUUUCCUGCAUGUU